rnacentral:rRNA from 1 species
AUUGAACGCUGGCGGCAUGCCUUACACAUGCAAGUCGAACGGCAGCACGGGUGCUUGCACCUGGUGGCGAGUGGCGAACGGGUGAGUAAUACAUCGGAACGUACCUUAUCGUGGGGGAUAACGCAGCGAAAGCUGUGCUAAUACCGCACACGCCCUGAGGGGGAAAGCGGGGGAUCGAAAGACCUCGCGCGAUUAGAGCGGCCGAUGCCUGAUUAGCUUGUUGGGGGGGUAAAAGCCCACCAAGGCGACGAUCAGUAGCUGGUCUGAGAGGACGAUCAGCCACACUGGGACUGAGACACGGCCCAGACUCCUACGGGAGGCAGCAGUGGGGAAUUUUGGACAAUGGGGGCAACCCUGAUCCAGCAAUGCCGCGUGAGUGAAGAAGGCCUUCGGGUUGUAAAGCUCUUUUGUCAGGGAAGAAACACCGGCUCUAACACAGUCCGGGAAUGACGGUACCUGAAGAAUAAGCACCGGCUAACUACGUGCCAGCCGCCGCCGUAA